UUUAUUUUUUAAUAAAGUCUUAGACAACUUAAAAUAAAGAGUAAAAUGUUCUUCGGCAGGCACACGCCCACCUAAGCCGACGGUUACUAAAAGUAAUCGACCUGCCGAAGCAACAGGAAAGUACACAAAGGGUGAGAUGCAACCUUUGCAGGUUACAAAUUUUUAUAAUGAUCCUUCCGCAGGUUCACCUACGGAAA
rnacentral:misc_RNA from 1 species